GAUGAACGCUAGCGGCAGGCCUAAUACAUGCAAGUCGGACGGGAUCCAUUGAUAGCUUGCUAUCAAUGGUGAGAGUGGCGCACGGGUGCGUAACGCGUGAGCAACCUGCCUCCAUCAGGGGGAUAACCUCUCGAAAGAGAGAUUAACACCGCAUAAUAUCAACAGUUCGCAUGUUCAGUUGAUUAAAUAUUUAUAGGAUGGAGAUGGGCUCGCGUGACAUUAGCUAGUUGGUAGGGUAACGGCUUACCAAGGCGACGAUGUCUAGGGGCUCUGAGAGGAGAAUCCCCCACACUGGUACUGAGACACGGACCAGACUCCUACGGGAGGCAGCAGUAAGGAAUAUUGGUCAAUGGGCGGAAGCCUGAACCAGCCAUGCCGCGUGCAGGAUGACUGCCCUAUGGGUUGUAAACUGCUUUUGUCCAGGAAUAAACCUAAAUACGAGUAUUUAGCUGAAUGUACUGGAAGAAUAAGGAUCGGCUAACUCCGUG
rnacentral:rRNA from 1 species